GUUGGGCGAGUCCAUUCAGACGCGGGGGGGAAGCUUCUUCAUUUAAACUGAAAUAUUAAUCAGAACCGCGAGUAUCUUUGUCAGGAAUCAUACCUGAUGUGUUUACAUGAGUAUAUACUGUGUUUCCGCUCAGUUGAAGGUGUUUCGGGUGUGUGUUGUGUGCUGUAUUUGUGUUCCGCGUCCCCCCGCGGCUGUCUCUGUGAGUGAGCGGCUGCGUGAGGAGCGGCGGACGCGUCGCGUCGCGUCGCGGGGAUGAGGAUGACCUGAACGGCCGUGUUUACCGAUCCGGCGCGCCGCUCGCUGUCCUGCUGAAGAGCGUUUGGUACUGAUGUGGGAGUGAUCGGAUCGGAUCAGCGCGGCACUCCAAUGAUGAGCUUCACUAGAACUGUCCUGCACUGGAAUGGACUGUGGCAAACAUGUGUGUUGCCACGGUGAUUAUUCACACUAAAACACUGGAAAAGAAGGCCGUCGAUGAUGUAGCAUCCACAGAGUCUCUGCAGCUGCGUGAGCCGCCGACCAUGAGCCAGGGGACGGCCCUCUUCUCCUGCGGGAUUAUGGGUAAAUGCAAAUACACUGCUGUCUUUAUAGCGAUCAAACGUCUUUCUGUUCUGCAUUUGCUCCGUCACUGAUUGGAUCAGCGUAUCUUCACCUCAAUGAAAGAGCGGAAUAGAAAGUGUGCCGCGCUCACAUCUGAUACCCAUGAGGCCUAGUUUCAGACGCCACAGGUGCCAGCGUCUCCGAGCCGGUGUCACGUGUGAGCAGCUCGAUGUUUGUCUCCAGAACAACUGCUCUCAGAAAACAGAGGUAGUAAAAGAAUGGAGCCAGUCUUUGAGUGGAAUAAACAGAGUUGAGUGAUCAGUAGGGUUUUGUGCUGCGUCAGAUCGAUGCCCACAGCGGUGUGUGCUGGUUAGGCUGUCUUUGUUUUGCUGCGUGCCCACAGCCAGAGCAUUUCUGCUUUUGACUUGAGAAAAAUGCCCCUCUGCAACGAGAAGCGCUGCUGUUCUGAUGCGCUGGGUGUGAACCUGAGCCACCUGAGGGACAUUUUCCAAGGGCCCCCUGAUAAUUAUAACAGUGAUUAAGCACAUGCUUACUAUAAUUUACUGUAUACUCUUAGA